GAGUUUGAUCGUGGCUCAGGAUGAACGCUGGCGGCGUGCUUAACACAUGCAAGUCGAGCGAAGCGCUCACGCGGAAUUUUUCGGAAGGAAGCGGGAGCGACUUAGCGGCGGACGGGUGAGUAACGCGUGGGUAACCUGCCCCAUACCGGGGGAUAACGGUUAGAAAUGACCGCUAAUACCGCUUAAGCGCGCGAGGCCGCAUGGCCACGCGCGAAAAACUCCGGUGGUAUGGGAUGGGCCCGCGUCUGAUUAGCUAGUUGGCGGGGUAACGGCCCACCAAGGCGACGAUCAGUAGCCGACCUGAGAGGGUGGCCGGCCACAUUGGGACUGAGACACGGCCCAAACUCCUACGGGAGGCAGCAGUGGGGAAUAUUGCGCAAUGGGGGAAACCCUGACGCAGCAACGCCGCGUGAGUGAAGACGUAUCUCGGUAUGUAAAGCUCUAUCAGCGGGGAAGAAGGAAGACGGUACCCGACUAAGAAGCCCCGGCUAACUACGUGCCAGCCGCCGCCGUAAC
rnacentral:rRNA from 1 species